rnacentral:rRNA from 1 species
GAGUUUGAUCAUGGCUCAGAUUGAACGCUGGCGGCAGGCCUAACACAUGCAAGUCGAGCGGAAACGACGGGAGCUUGCUCCCGGGCGUCGAGCGGCGGACGGGUGAGUAAUGCAUAGGAAUCUGCCCGGUAGUGGGGGAUAACCUGGGGAAACUCAGGCUAAUACCGCAUACGUCCUACGGGAGAAAGCAGGGGAUCUUCGGACCUUGCGCUAUCGGAUGAGCCUAUGUCGGAUUAGCUGGUUGGUGAGGUAACGGCUCACCAAGGCGACGAUCCGUAGCUGGUCUGAGAGGAUGAUCAGCCACAUCGGGACUGAGACACGGCCCGAACUCCUACGGGAGGCAGCAGUGGGGAAUAUUGGACAAUGGGGGCAACCCUGAUCCAGCCAUGCCGCGUGUGUGAAGAAGGCCUUCGGGUUGUAAAGCACUUUCAGUGGGGAAGAAGGCCUUGGGGUUAAUACCCUCGAGGAAGGACAUCACCCACAGAAGAAGCACCGGCUAACUCCGUGCCAGCAGCCGCGGUAA